GACGUAGGGCGCGAGCGUUGUCCGGAUUUAUUGGGCGUAAAGAGCUCGUAGGCGGCUUGUCGCGUCGACUGUGAAAACCCGCGGCUCAACCGCGGGUCUGCAGUCGAUACGGGCAGGCUAGAGUUCGGUAGGGGAGACUGGAAUUCCUGGUGUAGCGGUGAAAUGCGCAGAUAUCAGGAGGAACACCGAUGGCGAAGGCAGGUCUCUGGGCCAUACUGACGCUGAGGAGCGAAAGCGUGGGGGAGCGAACAGG
rnacentral:rRNA from 1 species